GCCGCGCGCUUCUCCAGACUUGCGCCCGCGUCUGGGCUGGGCCCGGGCUUCCCCACCCCGGCGGCGCCCUCCCCAAUGAGGGAGAACCGUCAAAAGCGAAGAAGCCACGGGUGAACCAUGGGAAGUAUUUUUCAAGACAGAAGUAUGAAUAGCACCUCCUAAGGACUCGGCACUGGAUAGGAAAAUAAGCUGAAAGGCGUUGGGACAGGGCCGGCCUGGCUUUAUUGCGCAGGACCUGCAGGCCUUGGUCCGCGGCGCGCCCCGGGAACCUUCCAGGCCUCCUGCCCUGGCUCGCCCUGACCUCCCCUCUGGGAGAGGCGCGACCGCUGGACUGUCAGGACCAGGGACAGCGGCGUCACCGCGGGGCCUUCCUACCCUCAAGCAGCGGCCCCAAACGGAUCCUUUUUGCUGCCCAGAAUCUUUCCUCCUCCUUAGCGGCCACCUCUUCUGGGAAGCCCACCCUGACUAUCCCAGGUGACCGGGGCUCGGAGAAGCAUUGCCCCCUGGAACACCGACCUCCGCCCUGGUAGAGCGGUGGGUGAGAGGCUUCGCGGCUGGGCGACCCCCUCCAGCGUAGUGAGAAAUCAGGAUCCCAGUGGCCCAAAAAACUCCUUUUUUAAAACAUUAAAAUCCGAGUUUUAAUGUCAAA